GCUUUAUAAAUAGAGGAAGACAGAGGUGGGAGAAAGCCAAAAGACUUUGCACUUGUUGGCCGCUACUAUCAAGAAAAAUAUCAUUUUUUUUGCAACCUCAUAUACAGAAGGAACGAAACCUCAUAUCACUUUUUUCGUCGCCUUCGUCGUUGGACCGUCGCAGCGUCUUUGUUGGCUGAAGAGUUUAAUAUCUGUUAGUUUGUUAGGAUUACACCUUGCACCAACUUGAAGCUCUAUCAAAGGUUAAGGCCCAUUUUUUAUUAUUAUCAAUGACUUUUUUUUGUAAGCUAUGUCUUUGAAGGUCUCAUGCAAGUAUAUAUGAAGUUGCAAGCAUAUAUGAAGUUACUCUCCUCGACGUCUUUUCUUUGAAUCGCUUCUUGGAUUUGUUCAUGAUAGACGAUGCAACUAUAUCAUGACGCCCACUGCUUAUUCAACUUCUAGGGUUUGUUCAUGAUAGACGAUGCUUCUUCAACUUUUGGGAUUUGUUCAUGAUAGACGAUACAACUCUCUCAUGACGCCCUGCGGCUUCUUCGACUUCGGAGAUUUGUUCAUGAUAGACGAUGCAACUCUAUCAUGACGUCUUAUUGCUUCUUCGACUUCGACUUCGGAGAUUUGUUCAUGAUAGACGAUGCAACUCUAUCAUGACGUCUUAUUGCUUCUUCGACUUCUGGGAUUUGUUUAUGAUAGAUGAUGCAACUCUAUCAUGAUGUUCACUGCUUUUUCGGCUUCUGAAGUUUGUUCAUGAUAGACGAUGCAACUCUAUCAUGACGUCUACUGCUUUAGCUACUUUGUUUUCACAUAUUUUUUGUUCCAAGACCAUGUCAUUAGUACUAAUUUACUUCUGGCGAUCUUUCAUUUUCAGAAGGAUGAUUUACUUCACAGAAUGAUUCUUGUCUAGAGUCCGACACCUUGUAAUACUUUAUGAUAGGAAUCAACCAAGGGUAGAUGGACUUAGCCUCCUUGUAGAGAAGCUAUGGGCUGACCCUUUUGCAGAUCAUUGGCCACGCUUAGACAAUAACUCAAUUCUUCCCAGAUUAUUUGUGGAGAUACCUUUGUCUAAGGGAAAAAAUGCAUGGGUCUUGCAGUCUUGUAUCCAUAACGAGGCUUCCAAUUCAGAUAGAGCUCUCACUCUCGGACAUCGUCUAAUUGAAGGCCAAACACGCUGCGGCGCCGUGUCCACGGAUACUGAAGAGUUCUACUUUACUGAUUACUAUUAGGAGUGGCUAGAGCUUGUAGUUGGUCGAAAUGUGUGACUUUUUUACAAUGCUUGUUUAUAUGGUGUCGUAACAGCUUCUUUGUACACCUAUGAUCUAAUAGUGAUGUUAUUCAAGCAUUUUGUGAA